UACGUAGGUGGCAAGCGUUAUCCGGAUUUACUGGGUGUAAAGGGAGCGUAGACGGCCAAGCAAGCCAGGGGUGAAAGCCCGGGGCCCAACCCCGGGACUGCCCUUGGAACUGCAUGGCUGGAGUGCGGGAGGGGCAGGCGGAAUUCCUGGUGUAGCGGUGAAAUGCGUAGAUAUCAGGAGGAACACCGGCGGCGAAGGCGGCCUGCUGGAUCGCGACUGACGUUGAGGCUCGAAAGCGUGGGGAGCGAACAGG
rnacentral:rRNA from 1 species